rnacentral:rRNA from 1 species
UACGGAGGGUGCGAGCGUUGUUCGGAAUUACUGGGCGUAAAGCGCGUGUAGGCGGCCUCUUCAGUCUGGUGUGAAAGCCCGGGGCUCAACCCCGGAAGUGCAUUGGAUACUGGGGAGGCUGGAGUACCGGAGAGGAGGGUGGAAUUCCUGGUGUAGCGGUGAAAUGCGUAGAUAUCAGGAGGAACACCUGUGGCGAAGGCGGCCCUCUGGACGGAUACUGACGCUGAGACGCGAAAGCGUGGGGAGCAAACAGG